GUACAGGUGAUGUGGCAAAAUUCAGUAUGAGUAUAACUAUGAUACUGUAAACGCUUUCUGAUGUA
rnacentral:snoRNA from 2 species